CAGGGUUCUUUUCUAAGUGCAUCUCACCAGAAAGACUGGAAGCCCAUCCAGAAACCUGGUUAACAGAGAGUCUGGCAAACGUGUUUACCAGCAGAGCACAGAAGAGGGUAAGCAUCUAUUAGGGGAGGCAUCUGGAAAGAUCACUACAAGCAGAGGAGAAUGAAUGUUCAAACUACAGAGGUA
rnacentral:lncRNA from 1 species